CUAGAUAAUGUUAGUUCUCAUACUCAAAAAAUCAUAAUCAUUGACAUUCAAGCAGCAAUGGCUGAGUUCAUCUCACUAAGAAUGCGGUGGUACGUAUGGUGAUCCGAUGUGUUUCUAAAUCCAGGAAUAAAGUCUGAAAAGAAUCUUAGCACUGCAGCAAGAAGCUGUGAAUCAUUGGAAGCUAAAGCUGCUUCAAGAAACAAUGAAGGCCGGACAGUAGUGACCUGGAAAAACAACUGAUUAUUUGUCAUUGAAUCCUUGAGACUAUGAACAAUCUGUGACGAUGUAGAAUCAUGCUCCAUCUAAUGUUUUGGUAAAACCAGGAGAAUCUUCUCUGAACAAGAUAGGGUUGGAAAAGGGUAGGAUGAAGAAGAAAGUUGAUGCAAAAAAAGAACCACAGGAUUCAAACUGUCAAAUUAAAGCAAUUUAUUACUUCAGUGAAAUAACAGAAGACCUUUGCAUAAAAUAGCUUGAAAGAAAAUUUAUUACGGAGAAAGAUGACUUUUCUUCUCUUGUCAACAAAUACUAAAAGUUUAUUUUCAACAAAACACUAGCUCUUUCAAAGCUUCUGCUAGGAAAAAUUCUCAAAACAACCAAUUCAAUUCAUCAGUAAAAAGCUGCUAAUAGAGUAAAUUAAAUAAAAAUGGCCAGAUCUAAAUGCAAGAGUUGUAACUUUUGUAAAGCCCGGAUAUUUUAGAUCAAUUAAAAUAUAAAAUUUUAUCUUCUUGGAACUGGUACUGAAAAAAUUACCUUGUGCUUCCUUGCAUAACGCAAGGCUUCAAGAUAAUAUCCAUCUUGCACUAGUAGCACCACAUAAUCAUGAUGUAAAGAGAGGUGUCUCACCAUAUCCAGACCCAACUUCCUGAUUUGGAAAUUUUGUCGACCUGACUCUAGGAGCUGCAUUGCUACUUCUUUUGAGGGCUCAAGAACCUUGUUUACGAUGAACAAUGUGAGUUCUGUAUACCGCUCAUUGCGGGCUAGAAGCUGUAUCGUCAGCACAUAGAGAUUGGGAUGAACCUUGAUCUUUUCCAAAUUUGUGCUGCAACAUUGGCACAAACAUGCAAAUUCAAAUAAUAAAAAGAAAUAAGAAAACUCUAUCAACAUGCACAAAUAAUUUUCGAGUAAUCUUCUAAGAAUCACUCUUCUGGUCCAAGUGACCAAUAAGCACAAGGAUCAUUCUACAACUGAGACUGGAGAUUGUAUGUUGAGGUUUCCUGGUCCAUCAAAACAAAAAGGGGCAGUAGUUUGAUUACCUUUCUAGCUGAUCCAUGGGAGAAUACUAUUUGUCAAUUAUUUUGAUAAAAUAGCUAACAAACCUGCAAUGACCAAAUUUUUGUUUAAUAGUUUUAACUUACUAAUACUUCAUAUACUUUUAGUGGGACCAGGGGCUAGUGUCAUUUUUCCAUCAUGCCAGUUGGCCUCAUCAACACAACCAUGAUGGGCUGAAGUUCCUCUAAUUUGUAUCAUGAAGAAGUUCUGUAUGAGCAAAUGCUUGAAAGUUGAGAGGCAAAUUCAUAUAGAGCUUGGUUAAAAUGGAUUAUUAUAGCACAUAAGAGUAUGAACUGUCUUUAAUUUUAGUAGUAGCAUUCAAAGCCUUUAAUCAUCUAUAAUCAAUAGCAUACCUGCGAAGGAAUUCAACAAUGAUGGCAACCAAGUAAGAUGGGUCUCCUACCAUCUCUUCCUCGACUGGGGCAAACACAAAGCUAUACAUCUCAUCAGGUGAAAUUGCUGGUGAAGCAAGUUGCAAUUCCUGCCGCUCAGAAACACUGGCAUUUAGUGGGUUGUUAUUCAGUCCAGGAUGCUGAGAUUGAGAAGAUGAUGGCUGAACUUCAUUGCUAGCACUUUCAGCACCCAAUAUGUUCUCCCUGUCCAGCUUUUGAAGACUAGUUGUGGUGUUUUUUAGAGAUUCAAAGUGUGCCUCAUCUUCAGAGUCUGAGGUGGAAAUAUUUGAAGAUCUGUUGAGGGAUUCAUUCUCAACUCUGGCACUCGGUUCAUGUUCGUAUGAUUUUCCAAGGGCAUCAAUUCCACUUGCAGAUAUAUUGGCACUGGACCUGGGACUAUUUACAUGUGCCCCACUGGAAAUUGAAGUUCUCUCCACUUUUAUUCCCUUGAGAUAGCUGCCUGUUUUGAUUGAAUAGGAAUAGUUACUAACAAGUACAUCUAUUACCCUGGCAACCAUGGACACCGGCCUCCUUUCCAAGAUGACAGUACGUGUUAUUGCCAGGCACAACUGUUUAGCCUUAUUAGCUUCCAACUUCCGUCGCUGCAGGAACUCUAGCACUGAAGGAACUUCAGAGCUACUUGCAGAAAUUGCCUCUAAGUCUAGAUGGAUCUUCCACAAGAAAUUGUUAGCAACAUCGCAUAUAAGGUCUGGAACUAGAAAUGUCCAGUCAUCUCCAUAAAUGAUUGCUUCAUGAUCACUUAUGUUGGCCUCUGCACUUUCACCAUCUUUGCCACUAAAUCGAGAGGAAGAAGUAUUGGACCUAGGGAAACCUCUAAACAGUAGAGGAAGUGGAGCAGAGAUGGGUGCUCGAGAAUCAGCAAAUAUGUCAUAGAGGAUAACAACCUUUGCAUCCACUUGAUGGACAAGCAGUACAUUAUCGACUACACUCACUGCAAUCUUGCUUGAAUAAAUUGGCAUGGAACCCUGUUGUACAACAGCAUCACGAUAAAACCUAUAAGAGUGCAGCAGCAUUGCUACUCUGUCAAUUUGCAUGCAAUAUAUUCUCCCAUACACAGUCACAAUAUAGAUAUCUUCAGCAGCUAGGACAGGCUUACUGUUAGCCUCAGAUUUGGCCAUUGCCAUCUCAAACCUUGGCAAGCGAACAAUUCCGGCAGAUGAGAGCUGAAAUCCAGUGAAUGUUUUGCAUUGCAUUCCUGAAGCAAGAAGAACCAAACGACUUUCAUGCGUAUAGACAUACCAACUCACAUUCAAUCUCCUUGUCUCCACCAAGUCAAGCAAUUUUGACUCAUAAUCACAGGCAAGCAAAUCGAGCCCACUCGUUUUCACAAGUACAAAAUCACACAGUGGACAAUCAGUCCAAAAGAAUCCUAGUAUACUCUCUGACUCUGACCUACACUUGUGACUGAAGGUUUCCCCAGUUUCUCUAUGCCAAAUCUGUAUCUCUUGACUAGAACGUUGGAUUGCUAUGAACUUCGCAUCUACAGAAUAUCUAAUAGAUAAGAUUGGGCCUUCACUUAUUGAAUCAGAUGUAGGCGCAACAUGAGGAUCAAAAGGAACAGUCUUCCAAGAAAACACCUGAUUAGAUGUUGGGCCAAGUAGCAACUUACUCCCAUCAUCGUAAUAUAAACCCCUUGAUCCUGGAAUUCUACAUCUUAAAGGCGGAUAUUGAAUGUAAACAUGUGACAGCCCGCCAGACCCACUAAAACCAACAGUAUGUUGUGAACUUGAUGCUUUCCCAGACAUUCUUAAGUUUUUUGCGUUCCCAGAUUGAGAAUAAAAUAAAAGAGUAUGUGGCAAGUACUGAAGUAGGCAAUCCUAAGCCAGUCUCAUAUGCUUCAAUAACACUGUGAAAAGGGAUCAAAUCAAUGGAAUUGCAAGAAAUAUUUGAGCUAUGAAUCAAAUAAAAAGAACCGGGGGCGGAGAGAGAACAAGAGCUAAAGUGCAUUACCAUUCCAGAAAGAAAAUGUUGCAUUUAUUUUUUGGUGUUUGAAUGAAACUGUUAUCAGUUAUCAGUGUAUUUCCACCACACACUGAGUGCUUAAAACUACUUGCUUCCGUAUUGUAGAUGCCUAAAUUAUUGAAGAUAAAUGCCUAAACCUUUCCUCGAAGCUGUCGAGCAAAACAAAGAAAAUGUUCUUAGAACAUCAUUCAAAAGAAGGCAAAUGACAAGAGUUUUAUUGUCCUCUUUCUUUUUAUUAUUUUCUGUGUCUCACAUGCAGCAGUUUAUUUCUUCUCAACUAAAAAAGCACACUACCGUAUUUUGCAUGCAAUUCUUCAGUGCAAGAAAUUCUUUCAGGCAAAUAUCACGCUCAAUUUCUGGAACCUUUGCUGCAACACAGCCUCCAUAAUCUUUUGCCUGGGCAGCACAGUUCACUAAAAUGCGCUUGAGUGUUGAAGUAGUAUUCCUCUCUUUCAUUUCCACAAUACUAUAAAAGAGAUGCCUUGAGAAUCAACCAUUGAUUUUACUUGCCUGUUUGGUAGCUAGGAAAAGUGCAGUUAUUUAUCGUGAGGAAGCAGAAGAAACUAACUAACAGUCAAAUUGCAGAAUUUU
rnacentral:misc_RNA from 1 species